CUGAGACACCAGUUCUCAUAUGAUCUCAAAAGUUAAACAACAUCAAUCCUAGGCAGUACUUAGAUGGGUGACUACUUGGGAAUACCAGC